rnacentral:rRNA from 1 species
AGCAGCCGCGGUAAUUCCAGCUCCAAUAGCGUAUAUUAAAGUUGUUGCAGUUAAAAAGCUCGUAGUUGAAUUUCGGGAUCAAAGGAUCGGUCAUGCCUUGGUAUGUACUGGUUUUAUUGGUUCUCACCUUCUAAAGAACCAUAAUGUCAUUCAUUUGAUGUUAUGGGGAAUUAGGACUGUUACCUUGAAAAAUUAGAGUGUUUAAAGCAGGCUUACGCUUGAAUACAUUAGCAUGGAAUAAUGAAAUAGGACAUCAGAUUCUAUUUUGUUGGUUUCUAGGAUCGAUGUAAUGAUUAAUAGGGAUAGUUGGGGGCAUUAGUAUUCAAUUGUCAGAGGUGAAAUUCUUGGAUUUAUUGAAGACUAACUACUGCGAAAGCAUUUGCCAAGGAUGUUUUCAUUAAUCAAGAACGAAAGUUAGGGGAUCGAAGACGAUCAGAUACCGUCGUAGUCUUAACCAUAAACUAUGCCGA